CUGACGAUGACGUCAUAGAAAAGGGACUCCGGCGCACGUAUGUGUCGUUUAGCCAACGUUACAGUAAAUCGCAAAGCAACGUGCUGUCUUUAAAUAAGAAAAUGAAAAGAAAACUCUUUUUAAAAUGCAUAGUCGCCAUUAGCGAGUUUUAAUAAUUGUAGUUUGACGAUGAAUUCGGCGUGGAACCAACAAGUUCGCUCGGAUUGCGAGGAGGUGCUUGCGCGGUUCCAACAAACGGACUCUGUCCGCUUUGAGAUUUUCUGCAAAACCUGGAGAGAAAUGAAGUUUGGACAUAUAUUUUUCGGCACCGCAGGUCACGAGAAGCGAGCGUUCAGUCGUCUGGUGUUGGACGCGGCCGCCAUCUACUUCCUGCCCCCCUUCAGCUUCCAGAUCCGAACGGGAGGACUUUACCUUCUCUACAGCCUCUACCAGUGCCAGCGCACCUCGCCGCCCAUCAGGAUCCGCCUGGCGCUGAAGGACUGGGAAGACGUGGUGACCUUCCAGAAGGAGGCGUUAGGAGCUCAGCAUCUGGACGCCGUCUUUGUCCUGCAUCAGCUGCUCUUCCACAAAGCUUUCCACCUCACUGCCAUGCCCACAUUGCUGACCUUCAAGAGGAGCAAGGAGACCACCGGUCCUCAGCAGCCCCGCAACUUUGUGGCCGGGGCGUGCGGCCCUCAGGAGCUCAUCGACCGAGACGCGCUGGAGGAGCUGUCCGACGUCCACCGCGUGUACGGCGAGCUCAAGUUGUCCGUCUACUCGCAAGCACAGCUGGAACGCCUGGGCGUCGACCUACACCGGAAAAACCUGCCGGCUCUGCUCCGAGGAUAUGUCGUUGCUUUCCACAGCUGGCAGCAGAAGAUGCGGCAGGAGGAGAGCACCGAGGACCGGGGCGCCGGCGGCAGUGGCGAGACCACGUCGUCGCAGGCAGAGAGUUCCAGAAGAGCUCAGCUGCUGUCAUCCAUCAAGUCCAAAGCGUACGGUCAAGCCGCUGAGGUAUGCAAGUCUCGCCGACAUCGCCGGGUGGACGUGGACACUGGCGAACAGUCGGGCCCCGCCUCCCCAAAAGUACGCCGCAGGCGUGGCAAAACCUCCCUCAGAGCGAGAACCAAGAAGAAUGUUUGCAUCGUGGGUAAGUUGUAAGGCCGUCAAAAGCCAGCAAAUCGUCCCCAUCCUUCUCCAAGAUGAUUCAAAUGCAACAUGAAGCAGAAGGAAAGAGCUUUCUGAAGCCUCGCUUCCGCCGUUCAUCUAAUCAACCAUUGAGUCCAGCGGGAGCUUCUUUUGUUUGUAGAACUUGUUUUGCAGCAAAAGUACAACUCAGAAUCCUUUCGACUGCAUUUAUUUUGUCGCCCGCCAGGCCGCAUGAGCAAAGAAGCCGCCACGUCCACUCGCAUCCAGCGUCUGACCACCCUGGACAGCGCCGGCCCUCGAGCCCAAAGGGAAGAAAGCGCAGGGCAGUGAACUUGGACGUGAGCACCAGACCUUCCCGCUCGGCCCCUUUCCAAA